rnacentral:rRNA from 1 species
AGCAGUGAGGAAUAUUGGUCAAUGGCCGAGAGGCUGAACCAGCCAAGUCGCGUGAAGGAAGAAGGAUCUAUGGUUUGUAAACUUCUUUUAUAGGGGAAUAAAGUGGAGGACGUGUCCUUUUUUGUAUGUACCCUAUGAAUAAGCAUCGGCUAACUCCGUGCCAGCAGCCGCGGUAAUACGGAGGAUGCGAGCGUUAUCCGGAUUUAUUGGGUUUAAAGGGUGCGUAGGUGGUGAUUUAAGUCAGCGGUGAAAGUUUGUGGCUCAACCAUAAAAUUGCCGUUGAAACUGGGUUACUUGAGUGUGUUUGAGGUAGGCGGAAUGCGUGGUGUAGCGGUGAAAUGCAUAGAUAUCACGCAGAACUCCGAUUGCGAAGGCAGCUUACUAAACCAUAACUGACACUGAAGCACGAAAGCGUGGGGAUCAAACAGGAUUAGAUACCCUGGUAGUCCACGCAGUAAACGAUGAUCACUAGCUGUUUGCGAUACACUGUAAGCGGCACAGCGAAAGCGUUAAGUGAUCCACCUGGGGAGUACGCCGGCAACGGUGAAACUCAAAGGAAUUGACGGGGGCCCGCACAAGCGGAGGAACAUGUGGUUUAAUUCGAUGAUACGCGAGGAACCUUACCCGGGUUUGAACGCAUUCGGACCGAGGUGGAAACACCUUUUCUAGCAAUAGCCGUUUGCGAGGUGCUGCAUGGUUGUCGUCAGCUCGUGCCGUGAGGUGUCGGCUUAAGUGCCAUAACGAGCGCAACCCUUAUCACUAGUUACUAACAGGUGAAGCUGAGGACUCUGGUGAGACUGCCAGCGUAAGCUGUGAGGAAGGUGGGGAUGACGUCAAAUCAGCACGGCCCUUACAUCCGGGGCGACACACGUGUUACAAUGGCGUGGACAAAGGGAGGCCACCUGGCGACAGGGAGCGAAUCCCCAAACCACGUCUCAGUUCGGAUCGGAGUCUGCAACCCGACUCCGUGAAGCUGGAUUCGCUAGUAAUCGCGCAUCAGCCAUGGCGCGGUGAAUACGUUCCCGGGCCUUGUACACACCGCCCGUCAAGCCAUGGGAGCCGGGGGUACCUGAAGUCCGUAACCGAAAGGAUCGGCCUAGGGUAAAACUGGUGACUGGGGCUAAGUCGUAACAAGGUAGCCGUACCGGAAGGUGCGGCUG